AGCAGUCGCCGCGGUAAUACAGAGGGUGCGAGCGUUAAUCGGAUUUACUGGGCGUAAAGCGUGCGUAGGCGGCUUUUUAAGUCGGAUGUGAAAUCCCUGAGCUUAACUUAGGAAUUGCAUUCGAUACUGGGAAGCUAGAGUAUGGGAGAGGAUGGUAGAAUUCCAGGUGUAGCGGUGAAAUGCGUAGAGAUCUGGAGGAAUACCGAUGGCGAAGGCAGCCAUCUGGCCUAAUACUGACGCUGAGGCACGAAAGCGUGGGGAGCAAACAGGAUUAGAUACCCCUGUAGUCCCUGUCUCUUAUAA
rnacentral:rRNA from 1 species